rnacentral:rRNA from 1 species
UACGAAGGGGCUAGCGUUGUUCGGAAUCACUGGGCGUAAAGGCGCGUAGGCGGCUUACCAAGUCAGGCGUGAAAUUCCCGGGCUCAACCUGGGGCUGCGCUUGAUACUGGUGAGCUGAAUGGCGGGAGAGGAUAGUGGAAUUCCCAGUGUAGAGGUGAAAUUCGUAGAUAUUGGGAAGAACACCGGUGGCGAAGGCGGCUAUCUGGCCCGUAAUUGACGCUGAGGCGCGGAAAGCG